CCUACGGGGGUCAGCAGUGAGGAAUAUUGGUCAAUGGGCGCAAGCCUGAACCAGCCAAGUCGCGUGAGGGAUGACGGUCCUAUGGAUUGUACACCUCUUUUGUCGGGGAGCAAAGCGCGGUACGAGUACCGUGAAGGAGAGUACCCGAAGAAAAAGCAUCGGCUAACUCCGUGACAGCAGCCGCGGUAAUACGGAUGAUGCGAGCGGUAUCCGGAUUUAUUGGGUUGAAAGGGUGCGUAGGCGGAGUAGUAAGUCAGCGGUAAAAAUGCGGUGCUCAAACCCGUAUCGACGUUGAAAAUGCGGGUGUAGAGAGAGCGAGAAUUAUGCGGAAGGCGUGGUGGAGCGGUGAAAUGCAUAGAUAUCACGCAGAA
rnacentral:rRNA from 1 species